rnacentral:Y_RNA from 1 species
GGUUGGUCUGAGUGUGGCGGCGUUUACAACUAAUUGAUCACAACCAGUUACAGAUUUCUUUGUUUCUUCUCCACUCCCAUUGCUUCACUUGACUAGCCUUAA